GACCGCUCGGUGGCCUAGUGAUCAAAAGCGUCCGCCUAAGAUGCGAGAGGUCGCGGGUUCUAACCCCGGCCGAGUCA